rnacentral:tRNA from 1 species
GGGGGUGUAGCUCAUAUGGUAGAGCGCUCGCUUCGCAUGCGAGAGGCACGGGGUUUGAUUCCACCUCCA